CCUAUUCAAGGUUAUAAGUUAAAUUUCACAAAACCGUGCAAUGCACCUAAGCUAACUGGUUAUACAAUACAAUACAAUCUAUUGCGCGGUGAUUUAGAGGUAGGAGCCCGUUGUUCUACAUUGUCCAAUUUCAAUCCCGUUGCAUGGAAUUCAUUUCAAUUUCAUUUCCCGCUGUGCCUCAUUGAUUCAACAAUUCAUUUCAAUUUCAUUUCCCGCUGCGCCUCAUUGAUUCAACCAAAGAAUUUUUUUCAGUCAAGCCAAUAUGUAACUCAUUCUAUUUCAUAUGAAGAAUGAAACAUAGGGUUUCUCUUAGUGAAAGUGAAACCCACAAUUUCCUUUCCCUCAACAAAUAAUUACAAUUUCGUCAAUCUUUGAUUUCGUACAUGAAGUUGCAAUUACCGACGAAGAAGAAAUUGGAGGAAGUGAGGGAAGAAGUGCUGCUCUUGGUGGUAAAUUUAUUUCUCUAUUGAGUAUAUAGAUCUCGAUUUUUAUUGGGAAGCACCAAAAAUGGAGUCUUGCUAAAGCUACCGAUCAACAGGACCAAAGCAAAACUGAACAUAACCAAAUCUAUAGGUUCUGAUCAGUCUGCUACAAGACUUCAUGAACUCAGAAAAUACAUUCGAGCUAAACCAGGCGCGGAUAAUCUUUUAGUUUUGGUUGAUAUGAUUAAGAGAGGCAAAGUGUCUCUUCGCAUGAUCAGGAAAACAAAACUGCUCAAGGAGAUCGGUGGACUGGAAAAGUUAACUUCGUUGAGAUUAUAUUCAAACGUAUUGGAACGUCUUCAGAAGUUUGACAGAAUGCCAUGAUUAUUAUUGCACUGGAAUGGCACAGGCGACCCAAGUGCAAUAUUCGAAGUAUGUACUAAGCAUACUUCAAAUAUUGCAGUUCAUCCCAGCUUCAAUAAUUAAGCUUGUGCAAGCUGUCCUUGAUGUGGUUCUCGGUUGGAAAUCAAGACGAACCAUGUCAUUUAAUGUUAGGCUUAGGUACAUUUUGAAGGUUGUCUCAGCUGCUGCAUGGGUGGUAUUCCUGCCAGUGACCUAUGCAUAUUCUUGGGACAAUCCCAAGAGUCGCACAGACUAUUAAAAAUCCAACUACAGGAUCGUGAUGCUGAUGAUGUGGUGGUCACAAGUAGUCUAGGAAACUAUAUUUUUGUUGCCACCUUGUGAAGCCACGUGGGAGGAGGCUCUGUUGGUUACAGCAAAUGCCACAGGAAGGAGCAAGCACAAAGGACUUUAUGCUCGACGGUACCACUUGCAGCUUGUUAUCCUAAAUGUCAGCAGCAUCUUUCAACUUCUUUAAUUCAUUCUCCGAGCUAGUUCUAACUACAUGGGAAACAUAUAUUGUUCUCAUCAGUUAGCACAAAAUUUCUGGUUAGCAUGGGCUCACUUAAGAUAAUAAAGACUAUGUGAACUAAUAUGUCACUACACUUUGUUUUAUAUGCAACUUCACAAACUAAUACUCCCUCCGUCCCAGAAUACUUGACCUGUUUUCCUUAUCGGGCCGUCCCUUAAUACUUGACCUAUUUCUAAAAAUGGAAAUAUUCUAACAAUAUUAUAUUAUUUCUCACUCCACCCCUAUUAACCCACCUACCCCCUACUCCAUACAAAAAAUAAUUAAAAAUUCAACCCCUACUCUCCCCCAACCCCACCUCUUAACCCACCUCCCACUAACUACAUUAAAAUAAUGCCCCACUAUCAACUACUACCUAUUAAACUAAAUAAGUCAAUUCAAGUUCCUUAAACUCUGUGCCGGUCAAACCGGGUCGAGUAUUCCGGGACGGAGGGAGUAUGUCACUACACUUUGUUUUUUCCUCUUAAAACUACCAUGACACUAUACCAAUAAAAAUA